rnacentral:rRNA from 1 species
GAUGAACGCUGGCGGCGUGCCUAAUACAUGCAAGUCGAGCGAACAGAUAAGGAGCUUGCUCCUUUGACGUUAGCGGCGGACGGGUGAGUAACACGUGGGUAACCUACCUAUAAGACUGGGAUAACUUCGGGAAACCGGAGCUAAUACCGGAUAAUAUUUCGAACCGCAUGGUUCGAUAGUGAAAGAUGGUUUUGCUAUCACUUAUAGAUGGACCCGCGCCGUAUUAGCUAGUUGGUAAGGUAACGGCUUACCAAGGCGACGAUGCGUAGCCGACCUGAGAGGGUGAUCGGCCACACUGGAACUGAGACACGGUCCAGACUCCUACGAGAGGCAGCAGUAGGGAAUCUUCCGCAAUGGGCGAAAGCCUGACGGAGCAACGCCGCGUGAGUGAUGAAGGUCUUCGGAUCGUAAAACUCUGUUAUUAGGGAAGAACAUACGUGUAAGUAACUGUGCACGUCUUGACGGUACCUAAUCAGAAAGCCACGGCUAACUACGUG